rnacentral:rRNA from 1 species
UACGUAGGGGGCAAGCGUUGUUCGGAAUUACUGGGCGUAAAGGGCGCGUAGGCGGCACAGCAAGUCGGGAGUGAAAGCCCGGGGCUCAACCCCGGAAUGGCUUUCGAAACUGCUGAGCUAGAGUACAGAAGGGGCAACCGGAAUUCCCAGUGUAGCGGUGAAAUGCGUAGAUAUUGGGAAGAACACCUGAGGCGAAGGCGGGUUGCUGGGCUGAUACUGACGCUGAGGCGCGAAAGUGUGGGGAGCGAACAGG